ensembl:lncRNA
UUUUAUUACAUUUUCCAAGCGCCCUGGAAGUUAUUAGGGCCAUGUAACCAGAUUGAAGCCAGUGAAAUGGUAUUGGAUUCCAAGUCACCCAUCUAAACUCCUGCAAGCACCAACAGCACAGUCUGCCCUUAAGGCCAUAAAGUGAGUGGUUUUGCUCCACCAUGCAUUUCUGCCAUGACAUGCCAUGGGCCCAAGGGCAACAGGGCCAACCAAUCAUCAACUGAAACCUCCAAAACUGUGAGCCAAAAUAAACCUUUUCUCUUUAUAACUUGAUUACCUUGGGAAUUUGUUAUAAUGCUUGAAAGUUGACCAGCACACCUUAUAAAACAGAGAAAAUUUGUAAAUAAACACACAGAGAAGGAAGAAAAUGUGAAGAGACAAUAGGGAGAAAUCUUCCAUCUACAAGCCAAGGAAAUGUCUUGUGGAAACAGAUCCUUUUCUCACAGCCCUCAGAAGGAACCAACUCUUCUAGCAACUUGAUUUGGAUUUUCAGCAUCCAGAACUGUGAGACAAAACACUUGUUUUUUAACCAGCCCAGUCUG